GUAGGGAAUAUUGCGCAAUGGACGAAAGUCUGACGCAGCGACGCCGCGUGAGUGAUGAAGGCCUUAGGGUCGUAAAGCUCUGUUGAAUGGGAAGAAAAAAAUGACGGUACCAUUCGAGGAAGGACCGGCUAACUUCGUACCAGCAGCCGCGGUAAUACGAGGGGUCCUAGCGUUGUUCGGAAUCAUUGGGCGUAAAGGGUGUGUAGGUGGCCAUGUAAGUCAGGUGUGAAAGCCCCGGGCUCAACCCGGGAAGUGCACUUGAUACUGCGUGGCUUGAGUACCGAAGAGGGUAGUGGAAUUCCAGGUGUAGUGGUGAAAUACGUAGAUAUCUGGAGGAACACCGGUGGCGAAGGCGGCUACCUGGUCGAGUACUGACACUGAGACACGAAAGCAUGGGGAUCAAACAGGAUUAGAUACCCUGGUAGUCC
rnacentral:rRNA from 1 species